UACGAAGGGGGCUAGCGUUGUUCGGAAUCACUGGGCGUAAGGCGUGCGCAGGCGGUUGUGAAAGUCAGGAGUGAAAUCCCAGGGCUUAACCCUGGAAUUGCUUUUGAAACUUCACGACUGGAGUACUGGAGGGGUUGGCGGAAUUUCGAGUGUAGCAGUGAAAUGCGUAGAUAUUCGAAGGAACACCGAUGGCGUAGGCAGCCAACUGGACAGUUACUGACGCUCAUGCACGAAAGCGUGGGGAUCAAACAGG
rnacentral:rRNA from 1 species